rnacentral:rRNA from 1 species
CCAGACUCCUACGGGAUUCAGCAGUGGGGAAUAUUUCACAAUGGUUUGAACCCUGGUGCAGCGACGCCGCGUGGUUGAAGGAGCACCUCGUUGCGUAAAGCCCUAUCGGCAGGGAAGAAAAGCGAACAGUUUCGCCUGGACGGUACCUGACUAAGAAGCCCCGGCUAACUACGUGCCAGCAGCCGCGGUAAUACGUAGGGGGCAAGCGUUAUCCGGAUUUACUGGGUGUAAAGGGGGCGCAGACGGCAGCGCAAGCCAGGAGUGAAAGCCCGGGGCCCAACCCCGGGACUGCUCUUGGAACUGCGCGGCUGGAGUGCAGGAGGGGCAGGCGGAAUUCCUGGUGUAGCGGUGAAAUGCGUAGAUAUCAGGAGGAACACCGGUGGCGAAGGCGGCCUGCUGGAAUGCGACUGACGUUGAGGCCCGAAAGCGUGGGGAGCAAACAGGAUUAGAUACCCGCGUAG